rnacentral:rRNA from 1 species
GAGCACGUAGGUGGGUUUAGUAAGUCAAAUGUGAAAGCCUCCUGUUCAACGGGAGAAUUGCAUCUGAAACUACUGAUCUUGAGUGUAGGAGGGGAGAAUGGAACUUCUGGUGGAGCGGUGAAAUGCGUAGAUAUCAGAAGGAACGCCGGCGGCGAAAGCGAUUCUCUGGCCUAUUACUGACACUCAGUGUGCGAAAGCUAGGGGAGCAAACGGGAUUAGAUACCCCGGUAGUCCUAGCCGUAAACGAUGGGCACUAAGUAGAGGGGUUUU